GGCCUAUUUUCCCAUAAAGUUGCAAUUAUCAAUUCAUUCGUAUUUGGUAUUGAUCAGCUCUGGAAUGUCGUGAAACAUUCUCACUGUACUGACACUGCAGCAAAAAAUUCCAGUCAAAUGAAAUGUGUAGAGAAAGCAAACUUUUCAAAAUCGCGCCCCGAAUGUCCAAGAUUUCAAUUCAGGGUCCCUUUAUUCGCAAUAAUCUGUAGAUAGUGAGAUGAGAAAAAAAAUUGAUGAUUUCAACUCUUAGCUAUUACUGAUCAUCGACCAAAACCAGUAAAUAACGAUUAGUGGCUCGUCUCUACUGGUUUUGUGGUAUACAUCAUUACAUCAUCGUGCAAUUAAUAUAAAAUACAUAUUUUAAUAAAUUAUAAAUAUGCUGUACUGCCUGUACACAGUGUACAGUGUACACUAUUGGAUAUAUUUUUUCCCUUUCUGGAAUUUCUUAGUCAUUGGGACUCGAGAAUUUUUCAGUGUUUUCAACUGCCCUUCAAUUGCUUCUCUCAUACUAAUUUCAUCCGGAAUAUGUACAAAACGUAUCUGCUUCGCUUGAAUAAACAGUUCUUCCAAGUGCAGCGUGUUUGAGCCUUGCCUAGUAAAAUGUACGUCUUUCAUGUUAACAUUCAUGUAGCCAUCAACUUGGGAUAUUAUUCCUUCAGCAAAUGAUUCGUUCCGUAGUUCAACAAUAGUUUUAUGGCCUUCACAACCUUGUAAUAAACAAAUUAAAGUUCUUUCUGCGAGCGCUCGCUCCUAUUGCUGCCCGCCAUGUUUGUUUUCAAACAGCCCGCUU